UACAGAGGUGGCAAGCGUUGUUCGGAAUUACUGGGCGUAAAGGGCGCGUAGGCGGCCUUCUAAGUCAGACGUGAAAUCCCCAGGCUUAACUUGGGAACUGCGUCUGAUACUGGGAGCUUGAGUGCGGGAGAGGGAUGUGGAAUUCCAGGUGUAGCGGUGAAAUGCGUAGAUAUCAAGAGGAACACCUGAGGUGAAGACGGGUUGCUGGGCUGACACUGACGCUGAGUGCGCGAAAGCCAGGGGGAGCAAACAGGG
rnacentral:rRNA from 1 species